CCUGGCUCAGAUUGAACGCUGGCGGCGUGCUUAACACAUGCAAGUCGAGCGGCAGCGCGGGAGCAAUCCUGGCGGCGAGCGGCGAACGGGUGAGUAAUGCUUCGGAAUCUGCCCUUCAGUGGGGAAUAACCAGUCGAAAGACUGGCUAAUACCGCAUACGAACUGAGGUUGAAAGCAGGGGAUCGCAAGACCUUGCGCUGAUGGAUGAGCCGAAGUCGGAUUAGCUAGUUGGUAGGGUAACGGCCUACCAAGGCGAUGAUCGGUAGCUGGUCUGAGAGGAUGAUCAGCCACACUGGGACUGAGACACGGCCCAGACUCCUACGGGAGGCAGCAGGUGGGGUAAUUUUGGACAAUGGGGGCAACCCUGAUCCAGCCAUUCCGCGUGAGUGAAGAAGGCCUUCGGGUUGUAAAGCUCUUUUGUCCGGAGCGAAACGGGCGGCCCUAAUACGGUCGUCUACUGACGGUACCGGAAGAAUAAGCACCGGCUAACUACGUG
rnacentral:rRNA from 1 species